rnacentral:siRNA from 1 species
AGGCCAACCGCGUGCGGUAACACA